rnacentral:rRNA from 1 species
UACGUAGGGGGCAAGCGUUGUCCGGAUUUAUUGGGCGUAAAGAGCGUGUAGGCGGUCAGGUAGGUCCGUUGUGAAAACUCGAGGCUCAACCUCGAGACGCCGAUGGAAACCAUCUGACUAGAGUCCGGAAGAGGAGAGUGUAAUUCCUGGUGUAGCGGUGAAAUGCGCAGAUAUCAGGAAGAACACCCGUGGCUAAGGCGGCUCUCUAGUACGGUACUGACGCUGAGACGCGAAAGCGUGGGGAGCGAACAGG